UACGUAGGGGGCGAGCGUUGUUCGGAAUUACUGGGCGUAAAGGGAGCGUAGGCGGGUCAGUAAGUUAGGAGUUUAAUGCACAGGCUUAACCUGUGACUUGCUCUUAAUACUGCUAAUCUUGAGUAUGGAAGAGGGAGAUGGAAUUCCAGGUGUAGCGGUGGAAUGCGUAGAUAUCUGGAAGAACACCAUUAGCGAAGGCGGUCUCCUGGUCCAAUACUGACGCUGAGGCUCGAAAGCUAGGGGAGCAAACAGG
rnacentral:rRNA from 1 species